UGGAGCAUGUGGUUAAUUCGAAGCAACGCGAAGACCUUACCAGGUCUUGACAUCCCGAUGCUAUUUCUAGAGAUAGAAAGUUACUUCGGUACAUCGGUGACAGGUGGUGCAUGGUUGUCGUCAGCUCGUGUCGUGAGAUGUUGGGUUAAGUCCCGCAACGAGCGCAACCCCUAUUGUUAGUUGCCAUCAUUCAGUUGGGCACUCUAGCGAGACUGCCGGUAAUAAACCGGAGGAAGGUGGGGAUGACGUCAAAUCAUCAUGCCCCUUAUGACCUGGGCUACACACGUGCUACAAUGGUUGGUACAACGAGUUGCGAGUCGGUGACGGCGAGCUAAUCUCUUAAAGCCAAUCUCAGUUCGGAUUGUAGGCUGCAACUCGCCUACAUGAAGUCGGAAUCGCUAGUAAUCGCGGAUCAGCACGCCGCGGUCGAAUACGUUCCCGGGCCUU
rnacentral:rRNA from 1 species